rnacentral:rRNA from 1 species
AUUGAACGCUGGCGGCAGGCCUAACACAUGCAAGUCGAGCGAGCGGAGGACGGGUGCGUAAUGUCUGGGAAACUGCCUGAUGGCGGGGGAUAACUACUGGAAACGGUAGCUAAUACCGCAUACCAUCAGAUGUGCCCAGAGGGGAUUAGCUAGUAGGUGGGGUAACGGCUCACCUAGGCGACGAUCCCUAGCUGGUCUGAGAGGAUGACCAGCCACACUGGAACUGAGACACGGUCCAGACUCCUACGGGAGGCAGCAGUGGGGAAUAUUGCGCAAUGGACGCAAGUCUGACGGAGCCAUGCCGCGUGUGUGAAGAAGGCCUUCGGAUUGUAAAGCUCUUUCGGCGGGGAGGCGUUACCCACCGAGGAAGCAACGGCUAACUCCGUGCCAGCAGCCGCGGUAAUUC